rnacentral:rRNA from 1 species
UACGGAGGAUGCGAGCGUUAUCCGGAUUUAUUGGGUUUAAAGGGUGCGUAGGCGGGCUGUUAAGUCAGCGGUAAAAUUUGGAGGCUCAACCUCCACGAGCCGUUGAAACUGGCGGUCUUGAGUGGGCGAGAAGUAUGCGGAAUGCGCGGUGUAGCGGUGAAAUGCAUAGAUAUCGCGCAGAACUCCGAUUGCGAAGGCAGCAUGCCGGCUCCACACUGACGCUGAGGCACGAAAGCGUGGGUAUCGAACAGG